rnacentral:rRNA from 1 species
UACGAAGGGGGCGAGCGUUGUUCGGAAUUACUGGGCGUAAAGGGCGCGUAGGCGGCCCCUUUUGUCGCGUGUGAAAGCCCCGGGCUCAACCUGGGAACGGCGCGCGGAACGGGGGGGCUUGAGUUCGGGAGAGGAGCGUGGAAUUCCCAGUGUAGAGGUGAAAUUCGUAGAUAUUGGGAAGAACACCGGUGGCGAAGGCGGCGCUCUGGACCGAGACUGACGCUGAGGCGCGAAAGCGUGGGGAGCAAACAGG